UACGUAGGGUGCGAGCGUUGCCCGGAUUUAUUGGGCGUAAAGGGCGCGUAGGCGGCCACGCACGUCCGUUGUGAAAUCGCCCGGCUCAACUGGGCGGGGUCAGCGGAUACGGUGUGGCUCGAGCAAGCUAGGGGGCAAUGGAAUUCCCGGUGUAGUGGUGGAAUGCGUAGAUAUCGGGAGGAACACCAGUGGCGAAGGCGGUUGCCUGGAGCUUUGCUGACGCUGAGGCGCGAAAGCGUGGGGAUCAAACAGGG
rnacentral:rRNA from 1 species